CAACAUUUCCCCUCCACCGCUCCCCCACCCAGACCCUCCACUUGCUCCAUCGUGUGUGAGGAGGCGAGCAGGCGGCGAUGGCUCCCAGGCUGCGUCCAUGGUGAUUUUGCGGCGGAAACCUAGACAGCCAGCCGGAGGCCCCAUCGGCGACGGUAACUACUGCAAUGAGGAGGUGGCGUGGUUUCUCCGGGGGGUUGAUCUGUACACCAUUUUCAUGGCUAGGUGGAGGGAUGUGGAGUAAGAGAACGUGGGGGUGAUUCCGCAAGGUGGUUGUUAUGUCAUCAAUUUUUUUUCACUUGCUGAACUUUGGGGUUUGCUGUAGAUCCCCCGUGCCUCAUGCUUGUUGUUUUUGUUUUUGUUUGGGGUUGGGCCAAGGAUUCUCAUCGCCCCAACGAACGGAGGUGAAGCAGCAACAUCGGCGAUGGCGAAUCCGUGUCCUCGUGCACCUGGGCGGCACCCUGCUUUGUCCAAUACAAGCAAUUUGAUGCUCAUGGGGAUUUUAUAUGGAUCAAUUUUGGGUGCCUGACCUCUGGGCGAUGAAGUUGGUCUCCUGAGAUGUUGCCCAGGUGGCUUGUACCAAUCUUGAUCGAUAGGGGAUUUUGAUGUUGGUGAAUUUUUCAUCCAUGCUCACAUGUUAAGCAAGUGAAGGUUUGUUUAGGUCAUUUUUGGAAGCUCCAUUUUGCACCUCACCUCUGUUCUGCAUCUCAUUUUGCAGAUAGAAAGUGAGUUGGCAUCAGAUCUUCUAUUUAUAUGCGAAACUAGACCUUCUGAAAGCAAAAGGGUUGAGUUUGGUUCAUGCAUAUGUAGUCCUACAAGUACCAAGUAAUAAUACACUCUUUAUAUGUGAUGCUAAACUAUGAGCUCAUAGGCUGCAAUAUAUAUUUAUAUGUAGUGAACCUUUUUGCACUUUAGAAUUAUUAAAGUAUUACAAAAUUGGGGGAAUGUCAAGAAAACACUAGCUGAUUUGUACAGUAUGUGAUAAAGUUUUAGAUCAUGAUAUUAAUCAAUUACACAUAAAAGGGACAAAUAAUACUAUGAAUAAUUGUUAACUUUGAGUACAUGUACUAUGUUUUUGUAGUCUGAUGACAAGCUUUUUCAGUAUCAGAGGUAAUCUCAUAUUUUUCAAAGAAGCAAAAACUUUAAUUUUUGUGCUAUGGUUUAGUUGCUUAGAGGUGUCUUUUAUUCCAUACCUCAGCAGCUUUUGCCAUGGCAAAAUGAGCCCAGUAUGUGGCAUCUUAUCACAUUCUAUUGGGCACAUUCGCCACAUGAUAAUAUAUCUUUUUUAACACACAAAUUUCAUUAUACUCCUGUGUAAUUUUUCUUUACAUAGUAGAUUAUAUGUCUAACUUAUUCGGUCUAGUGAAAUUACAUGGUAGUAUUAUGGGCUUGCUUGUUUGUGAUGACCAAGUAGUUAAAUAUAACUUUUACGACAUUUCAUAUUGGUAUGAGAUGGCAUAUCAUUUUUUAAGGAGUUCUGUAACUAAGAUAAUUUAUAGUAUAUUGUUAGAGGAAUUUUUUAUGUAUUAUUUACAACAUUUUCAUCAUUAUUUGCAGUGUUAAUUUUUUUCACUGUGAUAAUCUAAUCAAAUAGGAUAAAUGUAAGAGGCCUAUAAUAGCUAAGUCCCUUUCUCUUUCAUCAUUAGAUGAUUCCUGUUUUUCAAAACUGGAAGAUACCUGUUUUUUUUAAUGGCUAAUAGUAUGCUAACCAAGGGAUCUCUAAACAGGUAGCAAUCAGUUAGGCACUUUUGUGAUAUGAAAAACUUGCAAUGGUCAGUAAACAAAUUGAUAGCUAGAGAAAAUCUUAAUUUCAAUAUUGUUCUUAUGUAAUUUUUCUACAUUUAAUUUGUACUUAUGUAUAUUUUAUAAUAAACUAAUGCUGGUAGCAUAUUUUCUUAUUUCCUCCUUUACCUAUGCACAGAUUUGCAAUUGGUGGAGGUUUUUUUUCAGUCUUUCAAAUUUGAUCUAGUGAAUAAUUAUCUGAACUCAUAUCUUAUCUUGUGUACUGGACAUAUCUCUUGGCCUUUUCAACUCGAGUGUAUGCUAGUUUUUGUGAUUGUAUCUACUGCAUUCAUAAUGGCUGAAUCACAAGCAACACUUAAUUUCUGUCUUGAUGUCCCGGUGGUUUUGGAUAAGCAGUGGUGCAUAUACUUUUGUUAUUCGGUAGUCUAUUGAAAUAUACAGAGAUUUAGCUCUUUUUUGCCACGCCAAGAGAUUUUUUACUCUAUAAUUUUUUGAAGUUUGUGGAAAUUUCAUAUUCCAGUUAAUGUUUUUUUUUCAUAUUUCAAGAAAAGGGUUAUGCUCAUUGCGCUUUCCACUUCUUCCACUUGUUGUGAUGGGUGAUAGCUAGCUGUCUUUGCUUUGCAAUUUGGCUGAUUGAGGUGCUGGAUGUAUGUCUGGUUGGAUACAAUGUGAUUUUUUUGGAGGUGUAACUUGCUAGCAUUCAAUUUUAUGCUACGAGUACGUUGUACGUAUCAUGUUUUUGAAGGUGUAGUACACUGGUAUUGUGGCAAUUUUUUGUUUAAACAUUUUAUCUAAUGGAUGUGAUUUCUUUCUAUCUGCUCAUCCUGUUCAUCAUAUGGUGUUACAGUGCCGUGAAGGUCUUAGAAAUUAUUAUUUCAAUUCAAUCUAGCAUUUUUGUAGAGAUGUGUGUUUAGAUUAACUUAUAAUUUUUUGGGUCCUUCACUUAAAUUUUGCCUGCAAUCUGCCAUAUGCUCACUUGCCACCUGAAAAAAAUAUAGGUAGUAUAUAUCAAUAUUUCCCUAUCAGUCCAGUGUAAUUUUUCUACACAUAUAUGACUCUGAAUUAUUUGGUCCAUUGAAGUUACAUAUUAGUAUUAUGAGCUUGCUUUGCUUAAGAAGAUCAACUAGUUAAAUAUAAUUGUUACGACUAUUCUUUAACUAAUUCAUCUGGCCUUUAUCAACUUGUUUUUAAAUGGUGGAUGAGGCCAACCUUUUAUCAAUGAUCUGGUUAGCCUUCGGCUUUUCUAGUUCCGGAUACGCGUGGCCUUUCAUACUUUAAGGCACUUACUAUCUUCACACUCAUAUUUGUCUUGCUUAUAAAUAAUCUUUGUAUAUUGAUAUAAUUUUUAUAUUUUGUUCACCUAUUUUUGUAUACCUUUUUUUCUUUUGUAGGACAUAUGUGUCUCUGAUAUUGGGGUCUUGGUUGCCCACCUGUUUGUAUUUCUAGUUACAGUCCAACUAUACAAAUGUGACACCAUUUGCACUCAGUAUGUGCCAUCUGCAGGUCAAGGUGGUUCUCCACUCUGGUGUUGAGGUUGGGAGAUCACUAGUAUCUUCAUGACUUAAUGUGAUAUAAACAGGUUGUACACAUGGCUAGUUGGGUCAUUUACAUUUUUUUUUCAGUUCCUUGCUCUCAGGUAUGUCCUUUAAUGCAAAGUUUUUUUUACAGUAUUUUAAACAUGUGUAAUUUUAGGUCUUGCUUGGUACAAUUUUUCCCUAAAUAAGUCAGGGAAUUGUAGAAUCAUCAAAUAUAAUGUGUGACAUUAUAGGUUGUAUCUUAUUCCAAUUUGUGGGAUUCAACUUGAUACAGCUUUGAAUUUUCUAAUAGUUUUUGCAAUGUCACCUUGAUGUCAUCAUCUAGAGUUGCCUGAGCACUCGAUUUUCUUUCCAAUAUUGGAAGUGUGAAAAAGUUGUCUAUAUUUAGUGUACUGUUUUGGGAGUGCAAAUCAUCCACUAGAUUUUGUAGAUAUGUAUUGUCUUUUCUCUUUGUAGAAUGUCUUCAUUAAACUGACAAGUCUUGUUUUUCAGAUAUGUCUGCCAUUGAUUAAAUAUCUGACCCUUGUUCAUUGUGAACCUACGUCGACAGAUAACUCAGGCUUGUUCAUGGCAUUUGCACCUGCGGAUCAUUGUCUUGUGUAGUUAUGGGAACAAACUGGCUGUAUUUUUCUGUGGCCAUCAGGUUCCUCUUGGGCCGCUGUAUGCAUUGUAUAUGUUGUAUGUGUGAAAUGGGUGUAAAAAUUGAACACAUGCACCUUUGAACUGACAAAAACUAAUUUGUUCCACAGUUCUGGUUUGAAAAUUUUAAGAA